rnacentral:rRNA from 1 species
GAUGAACGCUAGCGGCAGGCCUAAUACAUGCAAGUCGGACGGUAUUGGAGAGCUUGCUUUCCAUGAGAGUGGCGCACGGGUGCGUAACACGUAUGUAACCUACCUUGUUCAGGGGGAUAGCCUCUCGAAAGAGAGAUUAAGACCGCAUAACAUUGCGAUGUGGCAUCACAUUGUAAUCAAAUAUUUAUAGGAACAAGAUGGGCAUGCGAAACAUUAUCUAGUUGGUAAGGUAACGGCUUACCAAGGCUACGAUGUGUAGGGGAUCUGAGAGGCUUGCCCGCAACACUGGUACUGAGACACGGACCAGAGUCCUACGGGAGGCAGCAGUAAGGAAUAUUGGUCAAUGGGCGGAAGCCUGAACCAGGCAUGCCGCGUGCAGGAAGACGGCCCUAUGGGUUGUAAACUGCUUUUGCAGGGGAAUAAACCUUGGUACGUGUACCAAGCUGAAUGUACUCUGAGAAUAAGGAUCGGCUAACUCCGUGCCAGCCGCCGCCGUAA